rnacentral:rRNA from 1 species
UAGGGAAUCUUCGGCAAUGGACGAAAGUCUGACCGAGCAACGCCGCGUGAGUGAAGAAGGUUUCCGGAUCGUAAAACUCUGUUGUUAGAGAAGAACAAGGACGUUAGUAACUGAACGUCCCCUGACGGUAUCUAACCAGAAAGCCACGGCUAACUACGUGCCAGCAGCCGCGGUAAUACGUAGGUGGCAAGCGUUGUCCGGCUUUAUUGGGCGUAAAGCGAGCGCAGGCGGUUUCUUAAGUCUGAUGUGAAAGCCCCCGGCUCAACCGGGGAGGGUGAUUGGAAACUGGGAGAGUUGAGUGCAGAAGAGGAGAGUGGAAUUCCAUGUGUAGCGGUGAAAUUCGUAGAUAUAUGGAGGAACACCAGUGGCGAAGGCGGCUCUCUGGUCUAUAGCUGACGCUGAGGCUCGAAAGCGUGGGGAGCAAACAGG